rnacentral:rRNA from 1 species
AUUGAACGCUGGCGGCAUGCCUUACACAUGCAAGUCGAACGGUAACGGGCCUUCGGGUGCCGACGAGUGGCGAACGGGUGAGUAAUGCAUCGGAACGUACCUUUCAGUGGGGGAUAACGUAGCGAAAGUUACGCUAAUACCGCAUAUUCUGUGAGCAGGAAAGCAGGGGAUCGCAAGACCUUGCGCUGAUUGAGCGGCCGAUGUCAGAUUAGCUAGUUGGUGAGGUAAAGGCUCACCAAGGCGACGAUCUGUAGCGGGUCUGAGAGGAUGAUCCGCCACACUGGAACUGAGACACGGUCCAGACUCCUACGGGAGGCAGCAGUGGGGAAUUUUGGACAAUGGGGGUAACCCUGAUCCAGCCAUGCCGCGUGAGUGAAGAAGGCCUUCGGGUUGUAAAGCUCUUUCGGCCGGGAAGAAAUCGCAUGGGUUAAUACCCUGUGCGGAUGACGGUACCGGCAUAAGAAGCACCGGCUAACUACGUG